CGGGAGAGUACACGUGGGAACGUGCCUUUCGGUUCGGAACAACCCAGGGAAACUUGGGCUAAUACCGGAUACGCCCUUACGGGGAAAGAUUUAUCGCCGAAAGAUCGGCCCGCGUCUGAUUAGCUAGUUGGUGGGGUAACGGCCCACCAAGGCGACGAUCAGUAGCUGGUCUGAGAGGAUGAUCAGCCUCACUGGGACUGAGACACGGCCCAGACUCCUACGGGAGGCAGCAGUGGG
rnacentral:rRNA from 1 species